CACUCCUGCGGGAGGCAGCAGUGGGGAAUAUUGCACAAUGGGCGCAAGCCUGAUGCAGCCAUGCCGCGUGUAUGAAGAAGGCCUUCGGGUUGUAAAGUACUUUCAGCGGGGAGGAAGGCGAUAAGGUUAAUAACCUUGUCGAUUGACGUUACCCCCAGAAGAAGCACCGGCUAACUCCGUGCCAGCAGCCGCGGUAAUACGGAGGGUGCAAGCGUUAAUCGGAAUUACUGGGCGUAAAGCGCACGCAGGCGGUCUGUCAAGUCGGAUGUGAAAUCCCCGGGCUCAACCUGGGAACUGCAUUCGAAACUGGCAGGCUAGAGUCUUGUAGAGGGGGGUAGAAUUCCAGGUGUAGCGGUGAAAUGCGUAGAGAUCUGGAGGAAUACCGGUGGCGAAGGCGGCCCCCUGGACAAAGACUGACGCUCAGGUGCGAAAGCGUGGGGAGCAAACAGGAUUAGAAACCCGUGUAGUCCC
rnacentral:rRNA from 1 species